UACGGGGGGAGCAAGCGUUGUUCGGAUUUACUGGGCGUAAAGGGCGCGUAGGCGGCCAGCACAAGUCAGUUGUGAAAUCUCCGAGCUUAACUCGGAAAGGUCAACUGAUACUGUGCGGCUAGAGUGCGGAAGGGGCAACUGGAAUUCUUGGUGUAGCGGUGAAAUGCGUAGAUAUCGAGAGGAACACCUGCGGCGAAGGCGGGUAGCUGGGCCGACACUGACGCUGAGGCGCGAAAGCCAGGGGAGCGAACGGG
rnacentral:rRNA from 1 species